GGGGAUGUGGCUCAAGCGGUAGUGUGCUCGCCUGGCUCACGAGCGUCCAGGGUUCGAUCCUCAGCACCACA
rnacentral:tRNA from 1 species